rnacentral:rRNA from 1 species
UACACGUGGAGAACUUGCCCUAGGCUGGAGGAUAACGUCGGGAAACUGACGACAAUACUCCAUAGCCCAUCCUUCCUGGAACGGUGGAUGGGUGAAAGCUCCGGCGGCCUAGGAUAGCUCUGCGGCCUAUCAGGUUGUAGCGAGGGUAACGUCCUCGCUAGCCUACGACGGGUAUGGGUGUUGGGAGACAUCGCCCAGAGAUGGAUUCUGAGACACGAAUCCAGGUCCUACGGGACGCAGCAGGCGCGAAAACUGCACAAUGUGGGAAACCACGAUGCGGGAAACCCAAGUGCCAGCGCUAUGCGUUGGCUGUCCUCCAGUGUUCGUAACUGGGGAAGAAAGUGCUGGGUAAGACGGGUGCCAGCAGCCGCG